CUACGGGGUGCAGCAGUGAGGAAUAUUGGUCAAUGGACGAGAGUCUGAACCAGCCAAGUAGCGUGAAGGAUGACUGCCCUAUGGGUUGUAAACUUCUUUUAUAAAGGAAUAAAGUGCUCCACGUGUGGAGUUUUGUAUGUACUUUAUGAAUAAGGAUCGGCUAACUCCGUGCCAGCAGCCGCGGUAAUACGGAGGAUCCGAGCGUUAUCCGGAUUUAUUGGGUUUAAAGGGAGCGUAGAUGGAUGUUUAAGUCAGUUGUGAAAGUUUGAGGCUCAACCUUAAAAUUGCAGUUGAUACUGGAUGUCUUGAGUACAGAUGAGGUAGGCGGAAUUCGUGGUGUAGCGGUGAAAUGCUUAGAUAUCACGAAGAACUCCGAUUGCGAAGGCAGCUUACUAAACUGUAACUGACAUUGAGGCUCGAAAGUGUGGGUAUCAAACAGGAUUAGAUACCCUCGUAGUC
rnacentral:rRNA from 1 species